rnacentral:rRNA from 1 species
UACGGGGGGGGCAAGCGUUGUUCGGAAUUACUGGGCGUAAAGGGCUCGUAGGCGGCCAACUAAGUCAGACGUGAAAUCCCUCGGCUUAACCGGGGAACUGCAUCUGAUACUGGAUGGCUUGAGUUCGGGAGAGGAAUGUGGAAUUCCAGGUGUAGCGGUGAAAUGCGUAGAUAUCUGGAGGAACACCGGUGGCGAAGGCGGCAUCCUGGACCGACACUGACGCUGAUGAGCGAAAGCCAGGGGAGCAAACGGG